AGUGAACGCUGGCGGUAGGCCUAACACAUGCAAGUCGAACGGCAGCACAGUAAGAGCUUGCUCUUACGGGUGGCGAGUGGCGGACGGGUGAGGAAUACAUCGGAAUCUACUUUUUCGUGGGGGAUAACGUAGGGAACCUUACGCUAAUACCGCAUACGACCUACGGGUGAAAGCAGGGGAUCUUUGGACCUUGCGCGAUUGAAUGAGCCGAUGUCGGAUUAGCUAGUUGGCGGGGUAAAGGCCCACCAAGGCGACGAUCCGUAGCUGGUCUGAGAGGAUGAUCAGCCACACUGGAACUGAGACACGGUCCAGACUCCUACGGGAGGCAGCAGUGGGGAAUAUUGGACAAUGGGGGCAAGCCUGAUCCAGCCAUACCGCGUGGGUGAAGAAGGCGUUCGGGUUGUAAAGCCCUUUUGUUGGGAAAGAAAAGCAGCAGGUUAAUACCCCGCUGUUCUGACGGUACCCAAAGAAUAAGCACCGGCUAACUUCGUG
rnacentral:rRNA from 1 species